UACGUAGGGUGCAAGCGUUGUCCGGAAUUAUUGGGCGUAAAGAGCUCGUAGGUGGUUCGUCGCGUCUGCUGUGAAAGUCCGAGGCUUAACCUCGGAUCUGCAGUGGGUACGGGCGGACUAGAGUGCGGUAGAGGAGAUGGGAAUUCCUGGUGUAGCGGUGGAAUGCGCAGAUAUCAGGAGGAACACCGGUGGCGAAGGCGCAUCUCUGGGCCGUAACUGACGCUGAGGAGCGAAAGCAUGGGGAGCAAACAGGCUUAGAUACCCUGGUAGUCCAUGCCGUAAACGUUGGGCGCUAGGUGUGGGGUCCUAUCCACGGAUUCCGUGCCGCAGCUAACGCAUUAAGCGCCCCGCCUGGGGAGUACGGCCGCAAGGCUAAAACUCAAAGGAAUUGACGGGGGCCCGCACAAGCGGCGGAGCAUGCGGACUAAUUCGAUGCAACGCGAAGAACCUUACCAAGGCUUGACAUACGCCGGAAACACUCAGAGAUGGGUGCCCCGCAAGGUCGGUGUACAGGUGGUGCAUGGUUGUCGUCAGCUCGUGUCGUGAGAUGUUGGGUUAAGUCCCGCAACGAGCGCAACCCUCGUUCUAUGUUGCCAGCGGGUUAUGCCGGGGACUCAUAGGAGACUGCCGGGGUCAACUCGGAGGAAGGUGGGGAUGACGUCAAAUCAUCAUGCCCCUUAUGUCUUGGGCUUCACGCAUGCUACAAUGGCCGGUACAAAGGGCUGCGAAACCGUAAGGUGGAGCGAAUCCCAAAAAGCCGGUCUCAGUUCGGAUUGGGGUCUGCAACUCGACCCCAUGAAGUCGGAGUCGCUAGUAAUCGCAGAUCAGCAACGCUGCGGUGAAUACGUUCCCGGGCCUUGUACACACCGCCCGUCACGUCACGAAAGUCGGUAACACCCGAAGCCGGUGGCCCAACCCCUUGUGGGAGGGAGCCGUCGAAGGUGGGAUUGGCGAUUGGGAC
rnacentral:rRNA from 1 species